AUUCUCAAUAAUAUAGCGCGCAUGGUGUUUGGGAUGAAACUUUUGCGACUCUAGUUUAAGUAACGUCGCAAAUGAUGUAUUUGAUACGACGCCCUUCCAAACAAUUUCAUUUAGCGCCUGAUUUUCAUUUAACGCGCCCCAUCUUUAAAAGAAAGAUAUUUCGCCGUUUUUAAUCUUUCGGUAAAGUUAAUGGCUGCUUCUCAGAUCUACAAUCAAGUUGCCCCAAAUCAAAUCCCCUCUCUCUCUCCGAUUCACAGUCAAGCGCCGAUUUCCAGCGAAGCUAUGCUCUGAUCACUUGCCUGCGUCAUACAGUGUGAAGGAGUUUUUGGAAGAUGGGGUUUAUAUGUACCCACUGAUGUGAAGGUGAAGCAGAUGAAGAGGCCAAAGUCGGACUGCAUGACGGUGCAUAAGGAGUUUAGCAUGCAAGGAUAGGGAUUCGGUGGUGAUUGCUUAUGAGGUUAAGGAUAAACCCUCGGUGUUGAAGGCGGAGGAUUAGGACUGGGUUGUGGUGGUUUUCGUCUUGUUGAGAUUUUCAAUAAGAGUAAGUGGAAACUUUCAGUUCUAAGGUUUUAAUUGCAUUAAGAAAUUGUUAUCUUGGUCAUUGAGAUUGUAGCUUUCUGAAUUUGUUUUAUGUGACUUUUGAAAGCGCAUUCUAGCUGUUAUGGAUUUUGUUGUUUGUGUAUGUUGUCUUGUGAUGCACUUAUGGGGGUUUUCAUGCGAUUCAAAGAUGAUAGUGUGGAGUCAGAGCAAAGAUUGUGAACCCGUGGAAUGUGAAGAUCAUCUCGGUUGGUUGGUAAAAUUUAUUUGAUUUAAUGUGUUACCAAUAAAAAACUAAGUUAUGCUUGUAGGAAAAAUCAAAUUAAUUGUCUUAAUUUCUUGCUGCAAUGGAAAAAAAAAAUGGUUCCCUUUCAUUUAUGCUUGUAGGAAAAUCAGAAUGAUUGCUUUCAAGGUCAAUGGUUUGUUAGACCCCUGGAACCAUUAUGCACACAAGUAGUUAAUAGUUACCCCUUCCUUUGUGCUUUAAUUAUCUUGAUUUGUAUCGCUACAAUGAAAUAUGAUUGCUAUUAUUUACCUGUAAGAAUUUCACUGCAUCGAAUACGUAUAUUUACCAAAAUAAAAAGUACAUGGGAGGGGGGAUUGCUCAUGAAUUUCUAAGAUUGGUCCUGAUUGUAUAAUGGCUUGCUCAAAUUGGUUGCCUAUGUUGUGAAGCCUACAUACCAAAUAAUUUUCACACACCUUAUCAUUAUUUAAGAUUUGCAUAGAAAAAGGAGGACACACUUGUUAUUGCAAAGGGAAACUCUUUUUUGUUAAUAGCUUGUGUUAUAUGAAAGUGUUCUCUCAUGAUUUUGCGCUUAUCCUGUGUUUCUGACUGCAGAUUCCUUGUCCGCAGUGAUAUGCCUCUCAGAGUGCUUCCCAAGUUUAUUGGGGUUCAACUUGUUAACUUUCAUAUUCAAUUGUAUUUCAAGAACACUACACCUCUCAUUGAUAAGCAGAGCUGCAGUUUUUUCUUUUUGUUUCCCAAAUUAUUUGCCUACCUUGUGUUUGUAAGAACUUCAAUUCUAGCACUGUUGCAGAGGCUUUGAUGUCUGAAUUUGAUGCGGAGAAUAAGGGUGACAAUGGAGAUCUUCACACAGCCUACACUGGCAAAGGGAAAGGAGACGACUCUGAAUCAUUAAUGUGUUACCAGUAAGAGUUCCAUUGAAUUAGAUACUUUUAAUUCCCAGUCAAUUGGCGGACAUACCUCUGUUUUAAUUUGAGCCUCUAUGAAGAGUACUAAGAGUAGAGCUGCUGCAAGGAGUGACAUAAUUACUCGCAGGAUCAAGGGGAGGAAGUUAGUUGUCGAACUAACAAACCAAUCUGGAGUGACAAUUCCUGUAGGAUUAUAGAUGGUAUAACCGUAUAAAUGUUUAGGAUAAUGUAUAUAUGUUUAAAUACUAGAAGUGAAAUACAUUCUUCAUUCUCAUCAAAGAAACCAAAUAAAUAUUUUUGGAUUUGUGAAUUAUGAAUAGUAUCAGUGAGGUUGGAUUGUUA